rnacentral:rRNA from 1 species
CCUACGGGAGGCAGCAGUGAGGAAUAUUGGUCAAUGGGCGCGAGCCUGAACCAGCCAAGUCGCGUGAAGGAUGAAGGAUCUAUGGUUUGUAAACUUCUUUUAUAUGGGAAUAAAGGGAGGAACGUGUUCCUUUUUGUAUGUACCAUAUGAAUAAGCAUCGCCUAACUUCUUGCCAGCAGAGGCGGUAAUACGGAGGAUGCGAGCGUUAUCCGGAUUUAUUGGGUUUAAAGGGUGCGUAGGUGGUUAAUUAAGUCAGAUGUGAAAGUUUGUGGCUCAAACAUAAAAUUGCCGUUGAAACUGGUUGACUUGAGUAUAUUAGAGGAAGGCGGAAUGCGUGGUGUAGCGGUGAAAUGCAUAGAUAUCACGAAGAACUCCGAUUGCGAAGGCAGCUCACUAAACUAUAACUGACACUGAAGCACGAAAGCGUGGGGAGCAAACAGGAUUAGAUACCCGAGUAGUC